UACGUGAGGGGCAAGCGUUGUUCGGAAUUACUGGGCGUAAAGGGCGCGUAGGCGGCAUGGCAAGUCAGGAGUGAAAGGCCUGGGCUCCAACCGAGGAACUGCUUUUGAUACUGCCAAGCUAGAGUGCGGAAGGGGCAACUGGAAUUCCCAGUGUAGCGGUGAAAUGCGUAGAUAUUGGGAAGAACACCUGAGGCGAAGGCGGGUUGCUGGGCCGACACUGACGCUGAGGCGCGAAAGCCAGGGGAGCAAACGGGG
rnacentral:rRNA from 1 species